GCUGGGUGUGGUGGCGCGUGCCUGUUGUCCCAGCUACUUGGGAGGCUGAGGCGGGAGGACCACUUGAGCCCAGGAGUUCUGGGCAGUAGUGCUCUGUGCUGAUCUGGUGUCUGCACUAACUUUGGCAUCGAUAUGGUGACCUCCCAGGAGCAGAAGACCAGCAGGUUGCCUAAGGAGGGGUGAACCAGCCCCAGUCAGAAACAGAGCAGAUCAAAACUCCUGUACUGAUCAGUAGUGGGAUCAUGCCUGUGAAUAGCCUGGGUAACAUAGCCACGUCCCAUCUCU
rnacentral:SRP_RNA from 1 species